CAGGUCUGGAAAGGGGCAGGGCUCCUGUAAUGGGAGGAGCCAAGGCCCUGCCCCCUUUCGUAGGACGAGUCAUUUCCGUCCGCCGAGAAACAGAGAAAGAAGCCGGUGGAGUUGCGGGCAGAGCGCCUCGGGCCGGACUUCCCUGGUCGCAAGUGGCAGGCCGGCGCUAGGGAUGGCCGAGGUGGAGCCCCAGGGCCGCCUGUGGCUGGAGAGCCCCCCUGGGAGUGCGCCCCCCAUCUUCCUGCCCUCGGACGGGCAAGCCCUGGUCCUCGGCCGGGGACCCUUGACCCUGGUUACCGACCGGAAGUGCUCCAGAAACCAAGGUGGGCGGGGCCGGGGCUGCAGGGGGUGUGGUCCGCUGCUGGAGCGGGAACACAGUGCAGGAAAGCUGGACGGCCGGUCCAUGGAGCUGGUCGCAGACCCUGGGACUAAGACCGUGGCAGUGAAACAGCUGGGAAUUAACCCCUCAACUGCUGGGACCCAGGAGCUGAGUCCGGGGGCAGAAGGCUCUCUGAGGGUGGGGGACACACUGUAUUUGGUCAACGGCCUCCACCCGCUAACCCUGCGCUGGGAAGAGGCCCGCACGUCUGAAUCCCAGCAAGACACUCCACCCGGCACCCCUCCGGUGGCCCCAGACGCUUCAGGGGACGUUGAACCACCGAAGAAGAAGCGGAUGCGGAAGUCAUCCUCUGGCUGGGAGAAUUUUGAGAAGCUGCUAGUGUUUACAGCACCUGGGGUGAAGCCCCGGGGCAAGGUGGCCGCCUUUGAUCUGGAUGGGACCCUCAUCACCACCCGCUCUGGGAAGGUCUUUCCCACUGGCCCCAGUGACUGGAGGAUCUUGUACCUAGAGAUUCCCCGUAAGCUCCGGGAACUGGAUGCGGAAGGCUACAAGCUGGUGAUCUUCACCAACCAGAUGGGCAUCGGGCGUGGGAAGCUGCCAGCAGAGGAGUUCAAGGCCAAGGUGGAGGCUGUGGUGGUGAAGCUGGGCCUUCCCUUUCAGGUGCUGGUGGCCACGCACGCCGGCUUGUACCGGAAGCCGGUGAUCGGCAUGUGGGACCAUCUGCGGGAGCAGGCCAACGAGGGCGUGCCCAUCUCCGUAGGGGACAGUGUCUUUGUGGGAGACGCAGCCGGACGCCCAGCCAACUGGGCCCCGGGGCGGAAGAAGAAAGACUUCUCUUGUGCGGACCGUCUGUUUGCCCUCAACCUUGGCUUGCCCUUCGCCACACCGGAGGAGUUCUUCCUGAAGUGGCCCGUCGCCAGCUUUGUGCUCCCCACCUUUGACCCGAGAACCGUCUCCCCCUCGGGGCCGCUCUACCUCCCUGAGGCCAGCUCCCUCUUGAGUCACAGCCCUGAAGUGGUGGUCGCCGUGGGAUUUCCUGGGGCUGGCAAGACCACCUUCCUGCAGGAGCAUCUCGUGUCGGCUGGCUACGUCCACGUGAACCGGGACACCCUGGGCUCAUGGCAGCGCUGCGUGACCACGUGCGAGACCGCUCUAAAGCAAAGGAAACGGGUUGUGAUCGACAACACAAACCCGGACCCUCCCACCCGGGCCAGGUACAUUAAGUGCGCCCGGGACGCAGGGGUCCCUUGCCGCUGCUUCCUCUUCGGCGCCACACUGGAGCAGGCGCGCCACAACAACCGGAAAGCAGUUCGAGGCCCCGACGCUGGCGGAAGGCUUCUCGGCCAUCCUGGAAAUCCCGUUCCGGCUGAAUGUGGAGCCUCCCCUCGAGCGGCUGUACCGCCAGUUCUCAGAGGGCUGAGCUGCCCCUGCCCCCCAACCCCCAAUAAAUGGUUUUCCUUUAAGCUCGGGCACCAUUGUGCUGGGAAGAAGGGUGGUCUGCCCGGCCAAGGACUGGCACCCGGCUAGUCCCCAAGCGGGGGCGGGGGGGACUCCCGGGGUGGAUACAGGGGUGGGAUUUGUCCUGAGCGUGUCUGGCCAGAUGCCUCUCCCGCCGGAGUAACUGAGGCCUCUCAGCCCAUGGCUGUGGGUGCUCCAGCCCGAGGCUGGGGAGCCCCCGCAAGGGACACGGCCCCCCGGGGGGGGGGUGGGGGGGCGGGGUAGGGUCUUCCUUGCACGUGGCUGCCGGGCUGCAGAACCAGUGCAGGAGCAUGUGUGUUGUGACCCUGAGGAUAAGAGCUGGAUUUGGUGAGUGAGAAACUGCGAGCUGAAGUUGACCUUGGGGCAGGGCCUGCAGCAGUAAAGGGGGUGCUGGGAACACAGUCACAGGGGGCAGGUCCCCGGCCCCAGCUUGUGUUUGCUGCUGGCCAAGCACGACCUGUCGAACCCAAAGGGAUGGAGAGAGAACCCCAGCGGCAGUGGGGAGCAGGACCCAGACAUGCGACUGGCCUCGAAGAGAGGACCACUAGGCACGGCAGGGCCUGCAGUCUGGGGACCAACCUGCCACUGAAGGCAUAAGUGGCUCCACGUGCAGCCCGUCCAUCUUCGCUCAGGUUCCGCUGCAGGACCUGCUGCUGGUUGGCGAUGACGCGCCGGAUGCCGUUGACGAAGUUGCUCUGGUCGUGGGGGAUGAGGCCGAUGAAGAUCUUCUUCUCCGAGGAGUAGAGGAGCAUGAGCACGCGCACCUCGCAC